GUUGUUUUUGUAAAUGGUAUAUCCAUAUGAUUUUAUUUUUUAUUUCGGGAAUUCAGUGAAGCUUGAAAGUUUAAGCUUUUCUAAAAAUCCCGUUUCUUCAUGUUUUCUUGAGAGAAAACUUGAAUCUCAUAAGGGUUUUUGACCUUUUGAUAACAAUCGUGAUAAUUUAGUUUACAGAUUGCUUUUGUGUUAAUAGUAACUCGCUGAUACCAUUCAUGAUUUUGUAUAUAGAUUAUCAUUGUUUGAUUCUUAUCCUGUUGAUUGAUUUGUUUCUUACGGGGGAUUAGGUAGAAUAUGAAAAAGUGAGGAGGAGAGAGAAGGAAUCAUAGAAAUACAGAUGGAAAUGAUUUUUAUUGUGUAGAGUCUCUUAGGUUUUGAUUUCACUAUUUCUCCUGCAAAUUACUAUGUCAUACUGCGCUUGAUGCCUUUUUUUUUGUGUCUCAAAAGUUUCAGAGAAAAGGUAUGAUCUUGGCUGAACAUAAGAAGCUGGGAAGCAAGGUCAUUCUGAUAUUACAAGAUUGAGUGAGCUUACUGAAUGACCAGCUGCAUCUGGGCAUGCCCAAAGAUAUCUAACUGACCUUCAACAGAUUUGUUGACUAGAGUAUUCCCUGUGGAACUCUAAUGGUUUACACAUCAACUCUGAUGCUUCAGUACGUUGAUAUCAGUAUUCUCCACUAUAAUAUUACAUGUCUGGAUGAAGUUAUAUGAUUCUUGAGCAAUCAGAACAAUGAUUCCAGAUGUUGAAAGUAAGAUUUCGCUCAUGGAAUGGAAGUGCGUAUGAUAAUCCUUUUUCCUGUUAACAACAAAAGAUAUAAACAAACUCUUAAACUAGAUAUGCCGAAUAUUCUUAAUCUCAAACUUUACAAGAUUUAUGAAUUAAAUUUCAAUCCUAGGGGGUAAAGCAUGAAAAUCUGUUGUGCACUUAACAUUUUACUAAAUACUGCAUGUUCUAAGUUUAGUAUUAAGGAGAGUUCAUGGAAACUGUGGUAAAGAAACACGCUUUCGACUCGAUACAUGGACCUAUGAGUUAUGACUAAUUCAAGUCUGGCUUAGUCCCGAGUCAGGAAAAAACAAACACGUCGUCGUCGUUUGUUUUCCAAUUAGUGAAUGUAUUGCUUGGCUAAGGCAUUGCAAAAUAUGUUUUUAUUUUUUUGAUUUGAAGAACUGAUGAAAGUACUCAUUUUCAUCUGAAACACCGCGAGCAAUCACAGUUUUCUUUAUAUUGCAGGAAAUGCUGAGUUCUUAAGAAGUUUGGCAUGUUUUAUGCUUUGUGGAAGUAGAAAUGAUAUUUACAAAAUUAGCUUCAGAUGGCUGCAUUUUUUGGAAUUGUUAUACAUGGGUUUUCUUUGCAGCAGAUCAAGGAAGGUUUACUGCAUUUUCUUAGAGCUUUUGAGGAUUCAGAAUUAUUGAACCAGCAGAAUAACCACAAUAACUACCCGGCACACCACCGACUCAGAGGUGACUUCUUGCCGUCAUCGUUUGGUAGUUAUUGUGAGUGAAAUCUAUUUAUGAUCGAGUUACUAGAGACCCUAUCGCUGAACCUGAUGUAGUAUCAAAACUUUUUUUUCUUUAGACUGCCUUUUUUACUUUAGACUGCAUUUUUUAUUUUGUUAUUUUUUUUUCUUACGAUUUUAACAAAAUCUGCACUGUCCCUUUUUUACUACUUUUUUUUUCUCUUUUUCUUCUAAAUUAAGUUGUUAUGUUUUUGUGUAUAGAAGUUAUGUACCCAUUUCAAGCAAAAAGACCAGCUUUCAUGCAUGACAGGGAACUCAUUGACAAUUGUUGGAGGUGUGAUCUUAAUUGAGAAGAACAUCAUAAGGAUAAGGUCGAAACCAGAAUGUUUUUGUCUCUGGGAUGAACAUGGGAAAAUCUUUUAAAUGAUGAGGAGACAAAUUUGAAAGGAAAAAAAAUCUCUAUGCCAGUUGGAAAAUUGUUGAUACGCUGAUAAGUAAGAUACUAGAGAAGAGUGGGAUGCAACAGUAUUAGUACUAUAAGUUUUUUCUCUUUGGUAGUGCUAUUGUUAAAUUGUUUAACUUUAUAGAAGAUAGAUUUUAAGUAUGGUAUCUAACUUUUGAUUACUAAGCUAUCAUCAUUCACUCUGUUAUAGAUUUCUAUCUUUUGCAUAAUUGUAUUAACGUUUCAAUUGUUAGAAGACAUUAGUAACACAGUACA